rnacentral:rRNA from 1 species
GACGGGGCCCGGCGACAAGCGGUGGAGUAUGUGGUUAAUUCGAUGCAACGCGAAGAACCUUACCUGGUCUUGACAUCCCGGAGACCCUUAGGAAACUAGGGGGUGCUUCCAUCUGGAAGAAUCUGGAGACAGGUGCUGCAUGGCUGUCGUCAGCUCGUGUCGUGAGAUGUUGGGUUAAGUCCCGCAACGAGCGCAACCCUUGCCUUUAGUUGCCAGCAGUUCGGCUGGGCACUCUAAAGGGACUGCCGGUGUUAAACCGGAGGAAGGUGGGGAUGACGUCAAGUCCUCAUGGCCUUUAUGACCAGGGCUACACACGUACUACAAUGGCCGAUACAAAGGGCAGCGACACUGCGAGGUGAAGCCAAUCCCGUAAAAUCGGUCUCAGUCCGGAUUGGAGUCUGCAACUCGACUCCAUGAAGUUGGAAUCGCUAGUAAUCGUGGAUCAGCAUGCCACGGUGAAUACGUUCCCGGGCCUU